rnacentral:rRNA from 1 species
AGAGUUUGAUCCUGGCUCAGAGCGAACGCUGGCGGCAGGCUUAACACAUGCAAGUCGAGCGGGCGUAGCAAUACGUCAGCGGCAGACGGGUGAGUAACGCGUGGGAACAUACCUUUUGGUUCGGAACAACACAGGGAAACUUGUGCUAAUACCGGAUAAGCCCUUACGGGGAAAGAUUUAUCGCCGAAAGAUUGGCCCGCGUCUGAUUAGCUAGUUGGUGAGGUAACGGCUCACCAAGGCGACGAUCAGUAGCUGGUCUGAGAGGAUGAUCAGCCACAUUGGGACUGAGACACGGCCCAAACUCCUACGGGAGGCAGCAGUGGGGAAUAUUGGACAAUGGGCGCAAGCCUGAUCCAGCCAUGCCGCGUGAGUGAUGAAGGCCCUAGGGUUGUAAAGCUCUUUUGUGCGGGAAGAUAAUGA